UUCCGGUUGAUCCCGCCGGACCUGACUGCUAUCGGAUUGAUACUAAGCCAUGCGAGUCAUUGUAGCAAUACAAGGCAUACGGCUCAGUAACGCGUAGUCAACCUACCCUAUGGACGGAAAUAACCUCGGGAAACUGAGAAUAAUAUCCGAUAGAACAUUAUGCCUGGAAUGGUUUAUGUUCCAAAUGAUUUAUCGCCGUAGGAUGGGACUGCGGCCUAUCAGUUUGUUGGUGAGGUAAUGGCCCACCAARACUAUUACAGGUACGGGCUCUGAGAGGAGUAGCCCGGAGAUGGGUACUGAGACACGGACCCAGGCCCUAUGGGGCGCAGCAGGCGAGAAAACUUUGCAAUGUGCGAAAGCACGACAAGGUUAAUCCGAGUGAUUUCUGCUAAAGAARUCUUUUGUUAGUCCUAGAAACACUAACGAAUAAGGGGUGGGCAAGUUCUGGUGUCAGCCGCCGCGGUAAAACCAGCACCUCAAGYGGUCAGGAUGAUUAUUGGGCCUAAAGCAUCCGUAGCCGGCUCUGUAAGUCCUCGGUUAAAUCUGUACGCUUAACGUACAGGCUGCCGGGAAUACUGCAUAGCUAGGGAGUGGGAGAGGUAGACGGUACUCGGUAGGAAGGGGUAAAAUCCUUUGAUCUAUUGAUGACCACCUGUGGCGAAGGCGGUCUACCAGAACACGUCCGACGGUGAGGGAUGAAAGCUGGGGGAGCAAACCGGAUUAGAUACCCGGGUAGUCCCAGCUGUAAACUAUGCAAACUCAGUGAUGCAUUGGCUUGUGGCCAAUGCAGUGCUGCAGGGAAGCCGUUAAGUUUGCCGCCUGGGAAGUACGUACGCAAGUAUGAAACUUAAAGGAAUUGGCGGGGGAGCACCACAAGGGGUGAAGCCUGCGGUUCAAUUGGAGUCAACGCCGG
rnacentral:rRNA from 2 species